CCUACGGGAGGCAGCAGUGAGGAAUAUUGGACAAUGGGCGCAAGCCUGAUCCAGCCAUGCCGCGUGCAGGAUGACGGUCCUAUGGAUUGUAAACUGCUUUUGCACAGGAAGAAACAACAUUACGUGUAAUGUCUUGACGGUACUGUGAGAAUAAGGAUCGGCUAACUCCGUGCCAGCAGCCGCGGUAAUACGGAGGAUCCAAGCGUUAUCCGGAAUCAUUGGGUUUAAAGGGUCCGUAGGCGGUUUAGUAAGUCAGUGGUGAAAGCCCAUCGCUCAACGGUGGAACGGCCAUUGAUACUGCUAGACUUGAAUUAUUAGGAAGUAACUAGAGUAUGUAGUGUAGCGGUGAAAUGCUUAGAGAUUACAUGGAAUACCAAUUGCGAAGGCAGGUUACUACUAAUUGAUUGACGCUGAUGGACGAAAGCGUGGGUAGCGAACAGGAUUAGAUACCCUGGUAGUCCACGCCGUAAACGAUGGAUACUAGCUGUUGGGAGCGAUCUCAGUGGCUAAGCGAAAGUGAUAAGUAUCCCACCUGGGGAGUACGUUCGCAAGAAUGAAACUCAAAUGAAUUGACGG
rnacentral:rRNA from 1 species